AACAUCGCGCACCUGCGGGAACCUGCGGAAGGAUCAUUACAGAGUUGCAGAACUCCCUAAACCAUUGUGAACGUUACCUAAACCGUUGCUUCGGCGGGCGGCCCGGGUCCUUCCCGGCGCCCCUCGGCCCUCGCGGGCGCCCGCCGGAGGUAAACCAAACUAUUGCAUUGUAUGGCCUCUCUGAGUCUUCUGUACUGAAUAAGUCAAAACUUUUAACAACGGAUCUCAGAUCGGAAGAGC
rnacentral:misc_RNA from 1 species